GGACCGACAGAGCAAGUGGGCGCCAAUCAGCUGGUUCCACAUCCUCCCGUAGAUGAUUCCGUGAGCAUCCAGCCCGUAAGUGUGGCAUUACUGCCUACAAAUACGUCUCGCAACACUUGAGCCUCACACUACAUACAAUUGCAACACCAUUACUCAAGGGUGGCAUUCCAAUUCCCAAUCACAAGGAUGAACACGGGGCUCGGCAGGUGAUUCUAUCAACCAAAAUCUUUGUACUCAUACAAAUUGUUUUUUACUAGUCACUAAAAUGUCUUAAUUAAUUAUGUGAGUCUAAUUCCUAUAGGUAGCAACGGUAAUUUGUUGCUCAUGAGGUCUAGAGGCUACACAUGUGCAUGCACUUAAUUAUAAUGGUCGAUAUUCAUUACAUUCGAAUUUCACUAACCAUAAUCGUGCAAAUAUAUAUACACCAAAUGUUGGGAGAAAACUCACCCGUUGACAACUGGGCUGUAGUUUUGUACUACGAUGUUAUAGCCUACACCUGCAAUUGUUGUCCAUAGGGGGAUUACGAUAUAUCCAAAAACCAUGUCCACGGUAAUUGCGUUGUCCCUGGAUCCAAAAUUCGCAGAACAGUGUUGUAGACAUCAAAACUAGCAUGGACAUGCACGUUUGGGAAGACGCAUGCAUGUGGCCAUCUAUUUGCUUCAAGAUUGGUGUGCUACUUUAUACUGGUAAUCCUGUCGAUGCACUGGGGUCCAUGCAUAUUAGCUUUUGGCGGAAUUGCAUGUGUCACCUAUUCCGUCUCUCAUGUCUUUUCAUUUUAUCUUAAAAAUUUAAAUUUAUUUUAUAGUUUGAACUAAAAAGCUAGAUUAAGUUUUGUUUACACAUUUGUGUUCGCUGCAACGAGUACUUUUGAAUAAGACCAAUUUUUAAUACAUUCAGAAACUUUUUAAAAAUUUGCCAAGUUUGAAAUAUUAAAACUUGAUAGUCAUAAUAUCACGUUUUACUAAGUUUUACAUAUUUAUCAUUCGGUCUAUCAACUUUAAGUAGUUGAAACAAGUUUUAGAAACUUAUCAAAACGUUGGAGCCCCCACAUGGUUUUAAGUUCCAGUUCUGAAACUUACUAAUUUUAUUGUUCAUUUCUAUCAAGUUUCAGCAGUUGAAACUUAGCAAAAAUUUAUAAAUGUGUCAAAACAUAUUUAAAAUUGGUAUUAUUUUGAAGACAUCAUCACAAGGAACAUGGAUAUACAAAUGAAAUAUAAAUUGAACUUUCGAUUCAAUACAUACAAUACAUUGAAAUUUACAAGUUAAAAGAAAAACAUGAGAGAUGGGGUCUGUGGGGCAUGCACUCUCUGCCAAACGUUGUACUCCCUCCUUCACAAAAUAUAAGACAUGUUUGACUUUGCACGGUCUUUUGUGCAUGACUUUGAUCAUUAAUAUAUAUUGAAUUACAUAGAUUGAACAUAUGUAAAUGACAUCGUCAUAUUUUUCUUGCAAAAUGAUUUAUUUCAUAUGUCUAUAUAAUAAUUUUAUAGACCAACAGUACAUGAAAUCAUAGUUAAAGUUGUGCAAUGAAGAUUAAAAAAAUCAACCGCGCCUUAUAUUCUGGGAAGGGAGUAAACCGAAAGGUGCAUGUAUGCAGUAAUCUUACCUUACCUACUAAUAAACCAGCGAUUGCUUCUGGUCGUACGUCGCUUUUGCAAUUUUGCAAAAAAGCCCUUCUAUUUUCUGAUAAUUAAACCCGUAGUCCCUUUUAAGUGAAUAUUUGUGAACCGUUUUUUGUUUUUGCACAAAACCCUCAUCCUUUGAGGAUCGAACCGUCGACCAGGCCCUCCGCCAAAAUCAGAAGCCAACAAGCAGAGGACGGCAACAAAACGAAGGGAUUACAAUCCGCAACAUCGGAUACUUCCAGGAAGAAAUCGGAUUAGCAGAACCGACACCCUCCGAUUUACAAUUGACCCAGAUGAUAAACUUUGGGAAUACAAAAAAUACCAAAUAAUCAGUUAGGAGUAGCAUCAGAUGCUUCCGCCGAGCGGCCUCGCGGUACCGGGACUCCCGCCGGCGAGGGCCGUCUUACCCACGCGUAGUGCGGCUCACGCGAGUAAGACGAGGGACGGCCGGGGACGAUCGAUGGCGGCGCUGUCGUCAUUAUCGUCACGCUUGGAGGUAAGCCAGAGAGUGGCGGUGCCGGAAGCAGGGGAGGACGGGCCCCGACGAUCGGCGAACUUGGAGGUGGCGGCGGCGCGACGACGUCCGGAUGCUGGCGGCAGCGGCGAGGCUCCUUGCGUGCUCCCUGCAUGACCAAGGGAAAAAGAAAAGGCUAAGAUGCAGGUGAGGACUGAGGAGGAGACAUGAAGAAGGAGAAGGAAAGGCGUUGGAGCUCCGCUGUGGGGCGGCAUGCGCGAGGGAUCGGGAGGGCGCUGAGCCGGUGGAGGAAGGAGGAGACGCUCGGGAGGCUCGGUGGUGGCCUCGACUCCAUCUGGAUCUAGAGCUGCAUGUGGAGAAGAAUGCGUGGGGAGAGAUGAGGAUGAGGGCGGCUGGCUGAGAAGAUAAGGUUGGAUGGGAGGGAGGGAGAGAGACAGCUGGUGGAAUCGUUGUCUAUAUUUUCGAGCGCGUGUCCAACUGACAUUGUUGAAAACUAAUAGUAAUAAGAAAAAGAGAAAGAGAGGAUUAAUAAAUGGGCUCAUGCACACAUCACGGCUAAACAGGAUUUGAUGAGAGGGAUUAGGGCAUGUACAAUGAUGCUAUCUUAAGAGUGCCACGUAAGAUAAAUGAUGAGGUGAAAGAGAGAGAAUCUAUAAGAAAAGACUUGUCUUCUCUAUUUAAGAUAAGAUAAAAAAUAAUCUCUUAGCAUAAUUUGUUUCACCAUGUUUUAAGGAAUGUCUAGUUAUUAAAUAUAAGGCUAAGAUAUAAUCCAUUAUAGACAUAUUUUUUGUCAUCUCUAAAUUAUAUGUAAGACUUAAGAUAAGACUGUUUUAUUAACCAUUAUACAUGCCUUUAAUGCGAGCUGCGUGCGGGCUGCGUGCGGACGGCGUGCACCGCUGUCGGGCAGGCAAGCUGCGAGAACUGCGGCGCGUGUGCUUGCUCGUGCUCUGGCCGGCGUGCUGAAUGCCGAGCCACAUGCACGUGCUCGGGCUGGGCACUGGAAACCAAUUGGGCUGGGCAUGCUUUGGGCCUUGGCCCAUCACAAUUUAUUUUUUGAUUGAGCCGUUGAAAAAAAUGCACAAAACAAUUAGUGUUUUUUUUGUAACCUACGCUCCGAGUAGGUCAAGUGUAAUUACAUAACGCAUGCUCUGUUGGGCCUGGAAGAUAAUACAACUUAGUAAGUCGGCCUUUUCUAUUAUCUAUUUUUCUACGGGGUAGCUUUCCUAUUAUCAUUAAAUAAAUAAUACCACCUGACCUCCUUACAACCAAAACCAUCAAGUUAUAUAUGUCCUGAAGUUACCAGUUACCGAUAGACUCAAUAAAUCGGCUUGUGAAUCAAUAAGCAGAGAAUAAGGAUGAUGACGCGAGAAGAGAAUGCUAAAAGAAGGAAUGAAGGAAUAUGCUGCCCUAUAUGCACUAAUUAGGUAGCGAACACUUACAAAGAUGGGCAGAAGACUGCAUGGAUGAAACUGAAGAAAGUCGCUAACAUAUUAAAAAGAUAACAAUGCCUCCCGUUAUAACGCACGGGCAUUUGUGCUAGUUAAAAUCUAAUCACAAAAUAAUCUUGGAGCAAUCGUACGGCCGCAUGAAUCGUGUUCCCGCCCCCUGCGUGACACAAACCAACAUCCUUGUAGAUAUCCAGAUUUAACUGCACCAUACUGUUUGGAGAAGAUGAACAGUGAAAUGUCUAAAACUUUGAUAGUCAACAACAAAAUUUGCUUAGUAACUUAGGUAAUUACCUCCUCAACUAGCUUUCUGACGUAGAUUAGUUUUGUAUAAGUUACAGAUCAGCUCCAAACUUGAUCUCUGACUCGGUAUAGGACGGGUGUCCCAUGUGGUAAAAGUAUUACCACCUUUUGCCUAAAAAAAUAUUACCACCUUUAUUUAUCUCUCCAAAUAGGGAUGUUAACAGCGUCUGGUUUAAACUCGUUUAAGCCCACUGAUCAGUCUAACGGAUCAAUAAAGUUUUUUUCAGAAAAAUAAACUGCCGAGCUAAGCUAACUAAAUGGGCCUUGUGGGGCCGUUUAUUAUGCCAUUUACAUCCCUAUCUCCAAACACGGAGUAUUUAACAAAAAAAUUACCACAAUUCAUGAAAUCGUGCCUACAAGCUAUCAUUUUACAAAUUUAUGUCGAAAACUACCAUUUUUUCACUAAUCUUUGACUAAAAACUACCAUGUCGGGAAAGUGCCAAAUUCGCCUCUUCUAAACACCUUUCUGACAGGAUGUGCCCACCUGUCAGCAUCAAUCUUCUUCCACCUCCUUCUCCCUCUCUCUCUGACAUUUCCUCAAACACCUCAUGUGCACUCCGCGCUCUUCUAAAUGGCUACGCCCCGGCGAAGCACGCGACGGCGGCCAGCAGAUGAAAGCCCAGCGUCUUGGACGACGAGGUCGCUGAGCCUCACCACCUGGCUGCUCCCGGUCACCAGAGCCUUCCUCUCCGCCACCUCCUCCUCCGGUGCCAGCGCGCGUGCACACAGGCAGCCGCAGCCGGCGUCGGCUCCCACGCACGCGGCGAAGCAGUCGAGCACCCUGCCCCCAUGCGCCAUAGUUGCAGCCUCGCCUCUGGCCUCUCUCAGACUCGCCGCAGCCUCGCCAUUGAGUUGGCCUCUCUCCUUUUCACGGAUUAAUGGCAAGAGCUAGUCAUGGCCGCCGCCACGCCCGGGCUCGAGCUCAGCCAUGGUCGCGCCCGGCCGCGCUUGCGGCUCCUGCUACUCCUUGCCACUCGCGCCGGCUGCUCCCUGCUACUCCUUGUCACCCGCGCCAAGGCUCGAGCUCGGCCAUGGUCGCGCACGGACGCGCUUGCUGCUCCUGCUACUCCUUGUCGCCCGCGCCGGCUGCUCCCUGCUGCUCCUUGUCGCCCGCGCCUGCUGCUAUUCCUUGCCGGCCGCCGUUGCUGCUGCUCCUUGCCUUGCCGGCCGGCGCCGAGGGGUGCACCCCCGUCGUGCUCCGGGGUGCAUCGCCGCGCUCUGGUCAGAGGAGCACCGCUGUGUGCAACGGAGGGGCGCACCGCCGCCUGCUAGAGGUUGUGCUCCGGCCAGAGGGGGAGAAGGAGGAGGGUCGGCCGGGGGUUGGAUGGGCCAGCCACCGAGCUGCGCGUGCUCUCGCUUGCCGGCAACUACCUCGCCGGCGAGCUCCCGGCCGUGGGGCAUGAAGAC
rnacentral:rRNA from 1 species